AAGUCGAACGGUAACAGGAAGAAGCUUGCUUCUUUGCUGACGAGUGGCGGACGGGUGAGUAAUGUCUGGGAAACUGCCUGAUGGAGGGGGAUAACUACUGGAAACGGUAGCUAAUACCGCAUAACGUCGCAAGACCAAAGAGGGGGACCUUCGGGCCUCUUGCCAUCGGAUGUGCCCAGAUGGGAUUAGCUAGUAGGUGGGGUAACGGCUCACCUAGGCGACGAUCCCUAGCUGGUCUGAGAGGAUGACCAGCCACACUGGAACUGAGACACGGUCCAGACUCCUACGGGAGGCAGCAGUGGGGAAUAUUGCACAAUGGGCGCAAGCCUGAUGCAGCCAUGCCGCGUGUAUGAAGAAGGCCUUCGGGUUGUAAAGUACUUUCAGCGGGGAGGAAG
rnacentral:rRNA from 1 species